CCUACGGGUGGCAGCAGUGGGGAAUUGUUCGCAAUGGGCGCAAGCCUGACGACGCAACGCCGCGUGGAGGAUGAAGGUCUUCGGAUUGUAAACUCCUGUUGAUCGGGACGAACAACCAUCGGGACAACACCCCGGAGGUCUGACGGUACCGAUUGAGGAAGCCCCGGCUAACUCUGUGCCAGCAGCCGCGGUAAUACAGAGGGGGCAAGCGUUGUUCGGAAUUACUGGGCGUAAAGGGCGCGUAGGCGGCCGCCUAAGUCAGACGUGAAAUCCCUCGGCUCAACCGGGGAACUGCGUCUGAUACUGGGUGGCUUGAAUCCGGGAGAGGGAUGCGGAAUUCCAGGUGUAGCGGUGAAAUGCGUAGAUAUCUGGAGGAACACCGGUGGCGAAGGCGGCAUCCUGGACCGGCAUUGACGCUGAGGCGCGAAAGCCAGGGGAGC
rnacentral:rRNA from 1 species